GAACUUUUCUCUCUCUCUCUCUCUCUCUCUCUCUCUCUCUCUCUCUCUCUCCCCUCCCUCUCUCUCAUUCUCUCUGCCAUAUGAGGGCAGGGAAACAGUGAUUUUCUGCAAGCCAGGAAGAGAGCUUUCACCAGAAAUCUACCCUGCUGGGCCUUGAUCUGGGAUUUCUAGCCUCCAGACUAGAUGGGAUCUCUCUAUGUUACCUAUGCUGACCAUGAAGUCCUGGACUGAAGUGAUCCUUCCACCUCGGCUUCCUCAAGUGCUGGAAUUACAGGUGUGAGCCACCAUGCCUGGCCUGGUUGAUUUUUGUUUUGGUGCUGUGGGAGGAAUGCCUGCCUUGGAGGAAAGAAAGAUCUGCA
rnacentral:lncRNA from 1 species